CUAAUAUUGUCACAUUUUAGGCAUCAAGAACCUUCUAAUAUCAUGAGCCACGAAAGGGCUUCCGAAACUAAUGCGAACACGCAAUAUUGUGAAUUGGAUCCAUCGAAAAGGGCAAUUGCUGCAGAUACAUAUGAUACUGUUCACGGCUAUUACGAACUUUCAGACGUGCAGGACGCCAGACGUUGACUCUUUGCUUCUGCCAUUGACAUCUCGCCACAUGUCAAUCAACUUCGUAUCUAAAUAUCGAUCGACCAAUCAGAGCUCGAUUAAUCGGUUGCGCCGGUUGCUAACGACAUGUCCGUCGUCCUUGGUUCAUAUUUUUUAAACGAGUUUCUUUUAUUUUCGUAGAAAAAAACACUUAAAUACAAUACGAUUAAACAUUACCAAUGGGGUUUAUGUUACUCAAACACUCGUUAUCCAGAAGGCGUUUGAUUCGGAAAAUGUCCAAAGCCGAAUCGUUAUUAAGACAAGCGCGAGUGGCAAAUUCA